GACAGAGGUGCCAAGCGUUAGGCGGAAUCACUGGGCUUAAAGCGUGUGUAGGCGGAUUUGUAAGUACCUUGUGAAAUCCCACGGCUCAACCGUGGAACUGCUGGGUAUACUGGCGGUCUUGAGCCACCUAGGGGCGAGCGGAACAAGCGGUGGAGCGGUGAAAUGCGUAGAUAUCGCUUGGAACGCCAACGGUGAAAACAGCUCGCUGGGGGUGUGCUGACGCUGAGACACGAAAGCCAGGGGAGCGAACGGG
rnacentral:rRNA from 1 species